UUGAAACACGGACCAAGGAGUCUAACAUGUGUGCGAGUUGGCGGGUUGGGAAAACCCGCGAGGCGCAAGGAAGCUGACUGGCGAGAUCCCCUCUCGGGGGGUGCACCGCCGACCGACCCUGAUCUUCUGUGAAGGGUUCGAGUGCGAGCACACCUGUUGGGACCCGAAAGAUGGUGAUCUAUGCCUGAAUAGGGCGAAGCCACGGGAAACUCUGGUGGAGGCUCGUAGCGAUACUGACGUGCAAAUCGUUCGUCUGACUUGGGUAUAGGGGCGAAAGACUAAUCGAACCAUCUAG
rnacentral:rRNA from 1 species